AUUGAUCCAUGGCGGCCGGCUUAACACAUCCAAGUCCAGCGACCGGCGGUCGGGUGAGUAAUGUCUGUGCAACUGCCUGAUUGAGGGGGAUAACUACUGGUUACGGUAGCUAAUACCGCAUACCAUCAGAUGUGCCCAGAUGGGAUUAGCUCGCAGGUGGGGUAUUGGCUCACCUAGGCGACGAUCCCUAGCUGGGCUGAGAGGAUGACCAGCAAGACUGGAACGGAGACAGGGUCCAGACUCCUACGGGAGGCAGCAGUGGGGAAUAUUGCACAAUGGGCGCAAGCCUGAUGCAGCCAUGCCGCGUGUGUGAAGAAGGCCUUCGGGUUGUAAAGCACUUUCAGCGAGGAGGCGUUACUCGCAGAAGAAGCACCAGCUAACUCCGUGCCAGCCGCCGCGGUAAUUC
rnacentral:rRNA from 1 species